rnacentral:rRNA from 1 species
AGUAAAAGUCGUAACAAGGUUUCCGUAGGUGAACCUGCGGAAGGAUCAUUAACGAAUAUCUAUGGCGUUGGUUGUAGCUGGCUCCUAGGAGCAUUGUGCACGCCCGUCAUUCAUAUCAUCUUUCCACCUGUGAACCAUGUGUAGGCCUGGAUACCCCUCGCUUUGGCAACAAAGCGGAUGCAAGGAUUGCUGCGUCGACAAGGCCGGCUCUCUUUGAAUUUCCAGGUUCUAUGUCUUUUACACACCCCAUUUGAAUGAUUUAGAAUGUAGUCAAUGGGCUUUCAUGCCUAUAAAAAACUAUACAACUUUCAGCAACGGAUCUCUUGGCUCUCGCAUCGAUGAAGAACGCAGCGAAAUGCGAUAAGUAAUGUGAAUUGCAGAAUUCAGUGAAUCAUCGAAUCUUUGAACGCACCUUGCGCUCCUUGGUAUUCCGAGGAGCAUGCCUGUUUGAGUGUCAUUAAAUUCUCAACCUCACCAGUUUUGUAACGAGACAGGUGAAGGCUUGGAUGUGGGGGUUUUGCAGGCUGCCUCAGUGCUGGUCUGCUCUCCUGAAAUGCAUUAGCGAGCUCAUAUUGAGCUUCCGUCUAUUGGUGUGAUAAUUAUCUACGCCGUGGAUUGGACUCAUGCUUGCUUCUAACCGUCCGCAAGGACAAUUUACUUGACCAAUUGACCUCAAAUCCAGGUAGG